UACGGGGGGGGCAAGCGUUGUUCGGAAUUACUGGGCGUAAAGGGCGCGUAGGCGGCCUGCUAAGUCGGACGUGAAAUCCCUCGGCUCAACCGGGGAACUGCGUCCGAUACUGGCGAGGCUUGAAUCCGGGAGAGGGAUGCAGAAUUCCAGGUGUAGCGGUGAAAUGCGUAGAUAUCUGGAGGAAUACCGGUGGCGAAGGCGGCAUCCUGGACCGGCAUUGACGCUGAGGAGCGAAAGCCAGGGGAGCAAACGGG
rnacentral:rRNA from 1 species